rnacentral:rRNA from 1 species
UGUGGGGAAUAUUGCACAAUGGGGGAAACCCUGAUGCAGCAACGCCGCGUGAGGGAUGAAGGCCUUCGGGUUGUAAAGCUCUGUCUUCAGGGACGAUAAUGACGGUACCUGAGGAGGAAGCCACGGCUAUCAUACGUGCCAGCAGCCGCGGUAAUAA